rnacentral:rRNA from 1 species
GGAUUAGAUACCCUGGUAGUCCACGCCCUAAACGAUGAGAACUAGAUGUUGGGAGGGUUUUGCCUCUUAGUGUCGUAGCUAACGCGAUAAGUUCUCCGCCUGGGGAGUACGACCGCAAGGUUAAAACUCAAAUGAAUUGACGGGGGCCCGCACAAGCGGUGGAGCAUGUGGUUUAAUUCGAUCAACGCGAAGAACCUUACCUGGCCUUGACAUCCUCGGAACUCUGUAGAGAUAUAGGGGUGCCUUCGGGAACCGAGAGACAGGUGCUGCAUGGCCGUCGUCAGCUCGUGCCG